rnacentral:rRNA from 1 species
AGCCUACCAGGCCGUUAAUGACGCUCAUGCACGAAAGUGCGGGGAUCGAACAGGAUUAGAUACCCUGGUAGUCCGCACAGUAAACGAUGAAUACUUGCUUUCGGCGAUACAUUGUCGGAGGCAAAGCGAAAGCGAUAAGUAUUCCACCUGGGGAGUACGCCGGCAACGGUGAAACUCAAAGGAAUUGACGGGGGCCCGCACAAGCGGAGGAACAUGUGGUUUAAUUCGAUGCUACGCGAGGAACCUUACCCGGGCUUGAAAGUUAGCGACGGAAGCUGAAAGGCUUCUUCCCUUCGGGGCGCGAAACUAGGUGCUGCAUGGUUGUCGUCAGUUCGUGCCGUGAGGUGUCGGCUUAAGUGCCAUAACGAGCGCAACCCUUUUCUCCAGUUACCAUCAUUCGGUUGGGGACUCUGGAGACACUGCCAUCGCAAGAUGUGAGGAAGGAUGGGAUGACGUCAAAUCAGCACGGCCCUUACGUCCGGGGCGACACACGUGUUACAAUGGGAGGGACAGAAAGCUGCGACUCGGUGACGAGGAGCCAAUCUCCAAACCUUCUCCCAGUUCGGAUCGGAGUCUGCAACCCGACUCCGUGAAGCUGGA